rnacentral:rRNA from 1 species
UACGUAGGGUGCGAGCGUUGUCCGGAAUUAUUGGGCGUAAAGAGCUCGUAGGCGGCUUGUCGCGUCGGCCGUGAAAACUUGGGGCUUAACCCCAAGCCUGCGGUCGAUACGGGCAGACUUGAGUUCGGCAGGGGAGACUGGAAUUCCUGGUGUAGCGGUGAAAUGCGCAGAUAUCAGGAGGAACACCGGUGGCGAAGGCGGGUCUCUGGGCCGUAACUGACGCUGAGGAGCGAAAGCGUGGGGAGCGAACAGG